rnacentral:tRNA from 1 species
GGCCGGUUAGCUCAGUCACUUGAGCAUAGUGCUAUCAACACUAAGGUCGCGGGUUCAAUUCCCAUUCGGUCC